ACUACUAGAAUCCUAACUUUGACCGAGAGUUACCACAAAUUACCAACAACCUGAUGGUAAACCUAACAAUGGCCAACUGUUUUUAUAUUGCCAACAGUGUAACUAAUCACCUUCGGGUAUUAUACAAAUGGCCGACAGUUAUUUUAGUGCCUGAUAGUUUUGUAGUCACUGUCGGUGAACCAUUAAAAUUCCCAGCCGUUCACUCAUCACAGUCGGCAACAUAUACACAGAUGGCCGAUGGGUCUAAGAAUCACCGUCCGGGCAACAUGUACAGAUACGAAUUGGAUAGAAAGUAUAUUUGCUAACCGUCGUUUCUUACUAAUUCAUCUGAUUUUUUUAUUUUUGGAGUCUCCCACGUUGUGAUUAAAGCACCUGUGACCGUAAGAUCAGGUAACCAACUAUAUCACAACCAUUCGUGAUUGGAUGAACUAAGUAUAUUAACCCUAGAUGUCAAAGCUUUUCUCCAUUCAUCCCCACCCAUCCAGUUUAUCUGGAGCCCACCUAGAUCCACGAACGCAGGGACCUGUGGCCGCACCGCCGCUUCAAGCCGUCGCGGUUGUUCUGUCGCCGGCUCUCCGCCCUUGCCGCGGCAAGGCCCAUGCCGAGCAGAAGUCGCAAGGGAGAAGGGACCGUCAAAAGGUUAGUAGAUCGUGACUACCAUCUAUCACCAAUAAUAAUUGACAACCGUCCCCGUCGUGAACUCGUGAUCCAUACAUCUAGGUACGUACACGAAUAGAACCUAAUCUUUGUCCAGUACCAUUCUAAACUAAUGCAUUCGUUAUGCAUAUCCUGAAUCAUUAUUCCGAACUAAUCCAUCCUUAUUAUGUUGUUCUUUUCCAGGAUUCACAAUCUUCCAUGAGAGAUCACUACGCUUAGAUUUGUUCUCUCAAGCUUUCUGACAAAGCGUGAAAAUUGGAAUGAAGAAGACAAAAGAUAGAUUCACUUUUCUUUUAAAUAUUGUGUGAAAUUCUUAGGUAGCCUUGACUCCCGAGGGAUAAUGUACGAUCGUUUAAUCUAUGUAUUUUUUUCAAUGUAAACAGCCUGUGGUGAUUUCGUCAAUCUCAAAGAUUUGCCAGCUCAGUCUUCCGAUCCAAAAUGUUCAUAGGGUUAGGGGUUGUAUAUGUGUAUUCAUAGGAGUGAUUGUGCGUGUAUGAUGAGUGUCUGAGUUGUACUAUGUAAUCUUAAGAAAAAAACAGCCUUUCAGUGAAAUAUAAAUGUAUAAUCAUAUUAAUAUGAGCAGCUAAGAAUGUUCUUUUUA